GGACCACUCCUGUGGCCUAGUGGUUAUGGUAUCCACCUCAGAUGCGAGAGGUCGCAGGUUUGAAACCUGGCUGAUUCA